GAUGAACGCUGGCGGCGUGCCUAAUACAUGCAAGUCGAGCGAACGGACGAGAAGCUUGCUUCUCUGAUGUUAGCGGCGGACGGGUGAGUAACACGUGGAUAACCUCCCUAUAAGACUGGGAUAACUUCGGGAAACCGGAGCUAAUACCGGAUAAUAUUCUGCACCGCAUGGUUCAAAAGUGAAAGACGGUCUUGCUGUCACUAAUAGAUGGAUCCGCGCUGCAUUAGCUAGUUGGUAAGGUAACGGCUUACCAAGGCAACGAUGCAUAGCCGACCUGAGAGGGUGAUCGCCCACACUGGAACGGAGACACGGUCCAGACUCCUGAGGGAGGCAGCAGUAGGGAAUCUUCCGCAAUGGGGGAGAGCCUGACAGAGCAACGCGGCGUGAGUGAUGAAGGUCUUCCGAUCGUAAAGCUCUGUUAUUAGGGAAGAACAUAUGUGUAAGUAAAUGUGCAGAUCUUGACGGUACCUAAUCAGAAAGCCACGGCUAACUACGUG
rnacentral:rRNA from 1 species